CCUACGGGUGGCAGCAGUCGAGAAUCAUUCACAAUGGGGGAAACCCUGAUGGUGCAACGCCGCGUGGGGGAAUGAAGGUCUUCGCAUUGUAAACCCCUGUCAUGUGGGAGCAAAUUAAAAAGAUAGUACCACAAGAGGAAGAGACGGCUAACUCUGUGCCAGCAGCCGCGGUAAUACAGAGGUCUCAAGCGUUGUUUGGAAUCACUGGGCGUAAAGCGUGCGUAGGCUGUUUCGUAAGUUGUGUGUGAAAGGCGCGGGCCCAACCCGCGGACGGCACAUGAUACUGCGAGACUAGAGUAGUGGAGGGGGAACCGGAAUUCUCGGUGUAGCAGUGAAAUGCGUAGAUAUCGAGAGGAACACUCGUGGCGAAGGCGGGUUCCUGGACAUUAACUGACGCUGAGGCACGAAGGCCAGGGGAGCGAAAGGGAUUAGAUACCCUUGUAGUC
rnacentral:rRNA from 1 species